rnacentral:rRNA from 1 species
GUGAUGAAGGUUUUCGGAUCGUAAAGCUCUGUUGUUAGGGAAGAACAAGUGCCGUUCAAAUAGGGCGGCACCUUGACGGUACCUAACCAGAAAGCCACGGCUAACUACGUGCCAGCAGCCGCGGUAAUACGUAGGUGGCAAGCGUUGUCCGGAAUUAUUGGGCGUAAAGGGCUCGCAGGCGGUUUCUUAAGUCUGAUGUGAAAGCCCCCGGCUCAACCGGGGAGGGUCAUUGGAAACUGGGGAACUUGAGUGCAGAAGAGGAGAGUGGAAUUCCACGUGUAGCGGUGAAAUGCGUAGAGAUGUGGAGGAACACCAGUGGCGAAGGCGACUCUCUGGUCUGUAACUGACGCUGAGGAGCGAAAGCGUGGGGAGCGAACAGGAUUAGAUACCCUGGUAGUCCACGCCGUAAACGAUGAGUGCUAAGUGUUAGGGGGUUUCCGCCCCUUAGUGCUGCAGCUAACGCAUUAAGCACUCCGCCUGGGGAGUACGGUCGCAAGACUGAAACUCAAAGGAAUUGACGGGGGCCCGCACAAGCGGUGGAGCAUGUGGUUUAAUUCGAAGCAACGCGAAGAACCUUACCAGGUCUUGACAUCCUCUGACAAUCCUAGAGAUAGGACGUCCCCUUCGGGGGCAGAGUGACAGGUGGUGCAUGGUUGUCGUCAGCUCGUGUCGUGAGAUGUUGGGUUAAGUCCCGCAACGAGCGCAACCCUUGAUCUUAGUUGCCAGCAUUCAGUUGGGCACUCUAAGGUGACUGCCGGGUGACAAACCGGAGGAAGGUGGGGAUGACGUCAAUCAUCAUGCCCCUUAUGACCUGGCUACAC